rnacentral:tRNA from 1 species
GCCGGUGUGGUGAAAUUGGCAGACGCGCACGACUCAAAAUCGUGUUUAUCACGUAGUGUCGGUUCGAACCCGACCACCGGUA